GACAGAGGGUGCAAACGUUGCUCGGAAUUACUGGGCGUAAAGCGCGUGUAGGCGGACCGGAAAGUCGGGCGUGAAAUCCCUGGGCUCAACCCAGGAACUGCACUCGAAACUUCCGGCCUUGAGUGGUGGAGAGGGUAGUGGAAUUCCUGGUGUAGAGGUGAAAUUCGUAGAUAUCAGGAGGAACGACCGGUGGCGAAGGCGGCUACCUGGACA
rnacentral:rRNA from 1 species